rnacentral:sRNA from 1 species
UCCUAGCCCCGAUAGAAGCGGCAUCCUUUUUUGUGGCUGCAAGUCCCUCGCCUUUGGAGAGGGAUUUAGGGUGAGGAAAAAAGAUACAGCGAAUAGCGGGAAUUAGC